rnacentral:tRNA from 1 species
GGGUCGGUGGCGAAAUUGGUAUACGCGUACGCUUUAGGAGCGUAUGGGGUAAAACCCGUGGAGGUUCGAGUCCUCUCCGACCCA